UUCCUACGGGGGGCAGCAGUGGGGAAUAUUGGGCAAUGGGCGAAAGCCUGACCCAGCGACGCCGUGUGGGCGAUGAAGGCCUUCGGGUUGUAAAGCCCUGUGAGGUGGAAAGAAGGGCCCAGAGGUUAAUACCCUUUGGGUCUUGACGGUACCACCAGAGGAAGCACCGGCUAACUCCGUGCCAGCAGCCGCGGUAAUACGGAGGGUGCAAGCGUUGUUCGGAAUUACUGGGCGUAAAGGGCGCGUAGGUGGUUGUGGAAGUCAGAUGUGAAAUCCCGAGGCUCAACCUUGGAACUGCAUCUGAUACUGCAUGACUAGAGUACAGCAGAGGGAAACGGAAUUCCUGGUGUAGAGGUGAAAUUCGUAGAUAUCAGGAGGAACACCGGUGGCGAAGGCGGUUUCCUGGGCUGAUACUGACACUGAGGCGCGAAAGCGUGGGGAGCAAACAGGAUUAGAUACCCUGGUAGUC
rnacentral:rRNA from 1 species